CCGCCGCUGCCGCCAUCUCCUCCCGUUGGCGGCUCGCCCAUGCUCGCUCCGCCAAACACAUCGAUCCCCCCCCCCCCCCCCCGGCGACCCCAGCUAGCAGGCUGCUCCGAGAGCCCUCAUAGACCCCCAUGGAGGCAGCGGGCUUGUUGAAGCCACGGCUGGAGGAGGCCAUCGACUGCGUCAUGAACCCGCAUCACGGCACCCCCGUUCCACCGUGGUGACAAGCACUUCCACUUCCACAACUCCAGCCUCUAGACGCGGAGCGUACUCAACGUGCAGAACUGAGGAGCACUGUCGGUUCAUCUGGCCUGCAGUUUGAUUAUGCAACUCAAUAUUUAGUUGCUCAAGGUUUAAAUAUAUCAGGCUUAUAAUCAAAGGAGCAUUCCAAAAAGAAAGGUUCCAGUGUGAAUGAUAAUAAUGACAACCCUGCUUAUGAAAUGACUCCGGAUGGUCAGCGACAGAAGGAUGGUUCAACCGAUCUUUCAUCAAGCAAAGAAGCAAAAGCUGAUUCUCACAAAGUGCAGACAACUGGUGAUCCGCAUGAGAGUGAAAUACAUAUAAUUUGAUAUCUUUUCUAGUGAUCCGCUAUUUCCUGAUGGGGAAGUUCUUCAAACAAAGUGCAUCUCCAGUUUCCCUGAUGAUCCGGAUGAUAAUAAAAUACAAAUCAGAAAAGGUAUGAAACAACAGUUUGAAAACUGCAUACAGCCUAGAGGCGUGGUUAUGUACCUUUACUCUCCCUGAUGAUUCCACGAGUUCUCUCGCAUAACAAUGGUGCACGGUACUCUUUAUAUGCAUGCUUUAGGAUUCUAUGGUUUCAGGCAAGUACCGAUAUGGUUGAUCUGCAGUGAUGGAGUUUCCUUUGAAAUGUGAUUGAUCCCUGAAAUGUUGCGGUUUUCUUUCUUGUACCUGACAUAAUGGUGUGUUGAUAGAUCCCUGAAAUGUUGUGUGCACUUUCCUGGAAUGCGCGAUGAAUUAAUGUUGUGAUUUCCUAUUCUGUGGGCGGUGAUUAUGCGCUGGACUUUCCUGGAAUGCUUAUGCGGUUUCCUAUUCUGUUACACUGAAAUGAUGUUGCCGUGCUAGAUUGUUUGAAGCAAGGUGGGAGGGCAAAAUGGUCAAGUUGAAAAUAUGUGUGACGAAACUCCGACCGGAGGAAACAGAGGAAGUUCUUUCUUUUUAGAUGGUAGAGAUAAGUUAAAAGAAGAAGGGAAGAAGAAAAAAAUGGGUCUAUCAAUAUUAUAUGAUAUACAUGUUAGUCAUAUUCCUAAACAUGAAUUAGUCACCAAACAUUGCGACGUGUCACCAAACAUUGCGACGUGUUUUGCAUCAACCAAAUAUAUCUCAUAGCCAUGUGACAACAACAUCCAGGUGCUAUGCACAUCACUGUUCCCUAACAACCCAUGAUAAUAUAAACCGAGAGUUGUCGUAUGAGCUUCGCUGGCACUCUGCAUUCCGGUGUUUCAGGUGACUUCUUGCUUGGAAACU